rnacentral:rRNA from 1 species
GAUGAACGCUGGCGGCGUGCCUAAUACAUGCAAGUCGAGCGAAUGGAUUGAGAGCUUGCUCUUAUGAAGUUAGCGGCGGACGGGUGAGUAACACGUGGGUAACCUGCCCAUAAGACUGGGAUAACUCCGGGAAACCGGGGCUAAUACCGGAUAACAUUUUGAACCGCAUGGUUCGAAAUUGAAAGGCGGCUUCGGCUGUCACUUAUGGAUGGACCCGCGUCGCAAUUAGCUAGUUGGUGCGGUAACGGCUCACCAAGGCAACGAUGCGUAGCCGACGUGAGAGGGUGAUCGGCCACACUGGGGCUGAGCCACGGCCCAGACUCCGACGGGAGGCGGCAGUAGGGAAUCUUCCGCAAUGGACGAAAGUCUGACGGAGCAACGCCGCGUGAGUGAUGAAGGCUUUCGGGUCGUAAAACUCUGUUGUUAGGGAAGAACAAGUGCUAGUUGAAUAGGCUGGCACCUUGACGGUACCUAACCAGAAAGCCACGGCUAACUACGUGCCAGCCGCCGCCGUAA